GUGCAAUCUCUAUGGUAACCACAUUUCCCAGUUGACUACUACCGAAUCGGGCAGCCAUUAGAACCAAAACAGUUCUGAGGAGCUCCCAGGCUGCAAUGUGGUGCGAAAUGUUUUAUGGACAGAAAAUGGAAAUGAGGUGCAGAAAUUGGAGCCUUUCACCAGUGUAACCAUCCCAAAUUUGCAUCUUGUCUGAUGCUAACUGAGGAAGAAGGGCACCUGGAGUUUGACCAGCAGGAACAAAACAUGUUAAAAUUGUUGCAGAAGAUGAUGAGGACUUCACAAGUGUGGCAUCUCAUGUAUUCUAAAGUAUAUGGUGA
rnacentral:lncRNA from 10 species